GUUUUAAUCGCCGAGUCCAGCGUCAUCCCGUCCCGAGGCUUUCUUCCUUCCCCUGCGCCGCAACCCCACCGGGACCUAUUUUCUGCUCCUAUUGGCGUGAAGCAACGCCAGUUGAUGAGGGUUGUAGACGAAGGGGAAAAGACAAGACGGAAAGGUGUUCGACAAAGUUUGAAGAGAUCUUUAAAGGGCCUGGAUUUGGUUGGGGAGGAGUAUCGGGUGAUUCGAACGGUGGCAAUCAAUGACGUAUUCUACGCAAAACAGAAGGUUUUAUUCCAUAUGAAUGCACUCUUUUUUUUGUUUGUUUAGCUGUUUGCUUCUCAAUGAUUUAUUUAUAAUUUAAUUGUUAUUCAACUGAUCUACAAACCAUUAUACCCGUGCAUGGUUAUAUUAAACUAAAACGGAAUAGCAACCCAAUUAUGUCUGUGCAUUUAAAUUUUCCAUAGUUGUCCUCUUCACUUA